rnacentral:rRNA from 1 species
GACGAACGCUGGCGGCGUGCUUAACACAUGCAAGUCGAACGGAAAGGCCCUGCUUUUGUGGUGUGCUCGAGUGGCGAACGGGUGAGUAACACGUGAGUAACCUGCCCUUGACUUUGGGAUAACUUCAGGAAACUGGGGCUAAUACCGGAUAGGAGCUCCUGCUGCAUGGUGGGGGUUGGAAAGUUUCGGCGGUUGGGGAUGGACUCGCGGCUUAUCAGCUUGUUGGUGGGGUAGUGGCUUACCAAGGCUUGGACGGGUAGCCGGCCUGAGAGGGUGACCGGACACAUUGGGACUGAGAUACGGCCCAGACUCGUACGGGAGGCAACGGUGGGGAGUAUUGCACAAUGGGCGGAAGCCUGAUGCAGCCACGCCGCGUGCGGGAUGACGGCCUUCGGGUUGUAAACCGCUUUCGCCUGUGACGAAGCGUGAGUGACGGUAAUGGGUAAAGAAGCACCGGCUAACUACGUG